UGGUGAAUUUUGGCCAAUGGGCGCAAGCCUGAUCCAGCCAUGCCGCGUGCAGGAUGAAGGCCUUCGGGUUGUAAACUGCUUUUGUACGGAACGAAAAGACUCUGGUUAAUACCUGGGGUCCAUGACGGUACCGUAAGAAUAAGCACCGGCUAACUACGUGCCAGCAGCCGCGGUAAUACGUAGGGUGCGAGCGUUAAUCGGAAUUACUGGGCGUAAAGCGUGCGCAGGCGGUUAUGUAAGACAGUUGUGAAAUCCCCGGGCUCAACCUGGGGAUUGCAUCUGUGACUGCAUAGGCAGAGUACGGUAGAGGGGGAUGGAAUUCCGCGUGUAGCAGUGAAAUGCGGAGAUAUGCGGAGGAACACCGCUGGAGAAGGCAAUCCCCUGGACCUGUACUGACGCUCAUGCACGAGAGCGGGGGGAGAAAACA
rnacentral:rRNA from 1 species